UCACUAAUGGUAGCACACUGUAUUCUCAUAAUCAGGAGAAGGAGGAGAACCUCCCAAUGCACCAGAUUAUUGAAGAUGUUUCACAAAACAGAAACGAAGUGCGACUCUCUGCCGUGCAAGGAUACAUGUCAAAUUUUUACAGGAAGUAUGGAUUGUAUGUAGCUAGAAACCCAAAUGUGGUCUUGGCUUCAUCUUUGGCCAUAGUUAUUCUACUUUGUUUAGGUCUAAUCAGAUUAAAGGUUGAGACACGGCCUGAAAUAUUUUGAUGAAUGUGUAAGUUUAAGCCAUUGCUGUCAGGUUGAUGCAAUUCGUGCUAAUCAUUCUGGCUUGAUGGUAUCUCUACAAGACAUUUGUAUGAAGCCAUUAGACACAAAUUGUGCCACUCAAAGCAUCCUGCAGUACUUCAAAAUGGAUCCCGACAAUUUCGACAAUUAUGGUGGAGUUGAUCAUCUCAGUUACUGUUUUGAGGUAAGCAAUUCGAUACGGAUCUCACCCCAAGAAAGGCAUCUCUAAAGACUAUGAUUCAGGAAGAGCUAACAAAACUAGCUGAUGAAGAUGAAGAGGAUUCUGAAAAUGAUGAAACUCAUACUAGUGGCAAAGAAAUUGAAGCAUGACUGAUGACUCGGCGUUUAUCCAAGUAUACCUUUUGACUAGUUAUAUAUUUUGUACAUUUUGUAGAGUAGAAAUUGGUG